rnacentral:rRNA from 1 species
AUUGAACGCUGGCGGCAUGCCUUACACAUGCAAGUCGAACGGCAGCAGGGGAGAAGCUUGCUUUUCCUGCCGGCGAGUGGCGAACGGGUGAGUAAUACAUCGGAACGUGCCCUGUAGUGGGGGAUAACUAGUCGAAAGAUUAGCUAGUACCGCAUACGACCUGAGGGUGAAAGUGGGGGACCGCAAGGCCUCAUGCUAUAGGAGCGGCCGAUGUCUGAUUAGCUAGUUGGUGGGGUAAAGGCCUACCAAGGCGACGAUCAGUAGCUGGUCUGAGAGGACGCACAGCCACAGUGGGACUGAGACACGGCCCAGACUCCUACGGGAGGCAGCAGUGGGGAAUUUUGGACAAUGGGCGAAAGCCUGAUCCAGCAAUGCCGCGUGUGUGAAGAAGGCCUUCGGGUUGUAAAGCACUUUUGUCCGGAAAGAAAUGGCUCUGGUUAAUACCUGGGGUCGAUGACGGUACCGGAAGAAUAAGGACCGGCUAACUACGUGCCAGCCGCCGCCGUAA